CAACGGUGGUAACAACAGCGUGGCACCGACCUGGGCCGACGGAAUAGAAGCAAGAGUCUGGGGAGAAACCUCACAUUUACGGGCCAUCGUUUUUUGACAAGGGAGCCCAGGCAUUUCCGUGGCGGAGAGCACGUGGGUUUUUCCAACAGAUGGUUCUAGUCUGGGUGGAGUCAUCACGGAAGGCUUCCUGGAGGAGGGGACUAUGAAGGAGAAACGAGAGCAGGCCAGGAAGAAAGAGGAGGUCCUCGGUGUCUGUCUCCCCUGGAGCCCCACAGCCCCUACGGGAGGACGAUGAAGAGUCCCCCUGCCCAGAUGCCUCAGGAGAUGUGCCCCACCCAGGGCCCGGCCUACAGCCAGUAGCAGGAGGAUGCAAGGAUGGAUCAGCUCACUGCCAGGUGGGGGGCAACACCUGGAGAGGCUCCCCGUGGAGCCUGCUGGGACGGCAGGGGAUGCACAAGGCCCCGGGAUUAGCCCAGAGCAUCAGGGAAGCCUUCCUGGAGGGGGUGCCACUGAACGAGUCUCAAAAGAGAUCAAGUUGGCCCAGAAAUCCUUGACAAGGAAAAGUUAAAGUUCACAUCAUCCAACUCAUUCAUUGCAGAAAUAAGUGAACAAGCUGAGAUGGGGAGUGAAUUCGAGGUCACAUGGCUUAAUAAGGGGUGAGAUCAGCCAGGAAGGUCAGGACAAGCUGUGAUCCUAACGGUCCCCAACCCAGCAGCAGGACCCAACGGAACUUAAUUUCUCACUUGAGCUCCGCAUCCGGCGUGGGCGUCCGUGGGAGGAACGCUGGUCACUCGGCGGGUCAGGCUGGCAUCUCCACCCGUGCCCCGGGGCAGACUGCCAACUGGCUCCCAAAGCUCCCUCCUGACCUGACCUGCCCAUGCCCGCCCCUGCCCCACGGGCCAAAGCAAAGCACGGGGCGGUGCCUCCCUUCCAGGGUGGUGGCACGUGUCCUGCCGCGCCUGGGGUCAGGAGCCACUGCAGCCGUGACCAUUGGCAUUGAGCAGCAGUGAUGAGAGCUGAGAAGAGAAGCCCAGGACCCCUGUACCCCCACCCGCUGCCCAGUCCCCUACACAUGGGGUGGGGGCGUUGGGAAGAAGUCUGGGCCCCUAGUUCCCUGCCCACUGCCCAGUCCCCUGCACACGGCGGUGGGGGUGGGGGGUGCAGUGGGAAGAAGCCCGGGCACCAGGUCCCCUGCACGGGGUUGGCAGGGAGAAGCCCAGGCCCCCUGUCCCUGCCAGCUGCCAGGUCCCCUGCACAUGGAGGGGGGGCAGUGGGGAGAAGCCCGGCUGCCAGGUCCCCUGCACAUGGAGGGGGGGCAGUGGGGAGAAGCCUGGGCCCCCAGUCCCCCACACACAAGCGCACAGACACACACAGAAGCAGGCACUCCCACGUCAAGGCACACGUUUCAGGUUCCCCGCCGGGGUAAAUGGGACUCCUAGGGACAAAGGUCCUGGGACGCGAGUGUCCCAGGCCGUGGCCCGGCUCACUUACUACUGCAGACU